rnacentral:rRNA from 1 species
CGGGGUGCAGCAGGCGCGAAAACUUUACAAUGCUGGCAACAGCGAUAAGGGGACCUCGAGUGCCAGGAUACAAUCCUGGCUGUCGUAAUGCCUAAAAAGCAUUGCAUAGCAAGGGCCGGGCAAGACCGGUGCCAGCCGCCGCGGUAACACCGGCGGCUCGAGUGGUAACCGCUAUUAUUGGGUCUAAAGGGUCUGUAGCCGGCUGACUAAGUCUCUUGGGAAAUCUGGCAGCUCAACUGUCAGGCUUUCAGGAGAUACUGAUCGGCUCGAGACCGGGAGAGGUGAGAGGUACCUCAGGGGUAGGGGUGAAAUCUUGUAAUCCUUGAGGGACCACCAGUGGCGAAGGCGUCUCACCAGAACGGAUCUGACGGCAAGGGACGAAAGCUAGGGGCACGAACCGGAUUAGAUACCCGGGUAGUCCUAGCCGUAAACGAUACUCGCUAGGUGUCGGCCACGGUGCGACCGUGGUCGGUGCCGUAGGGAAGCCGUGAAGCGAGCCACCUGGGAAGUACGGCCGCAAGGCUGAAACUUAAAGGAAUUGGCGGGGGAGCAC